AGUUUUUUAUAACAGGCUUUGGUGAAAAGGGAAGCAGGUGAGAAUCCUGCACGAACUCGUCACCGUAUUCAGGGAGCGAAGGCCGACAUAUCACUGGGAAACCGGGAAGAUGGCCGGAGUAACGAUCUGUGAGCCGGGAGACCUGCCUGGGUUAAUG
rnacentral:ncRNA from 1 species